GGGAAGGUAGCUCAAUGGUUAAGAGCACUGGCUGCUCUUCCAGAGGACUUGGGUUUGAGUCCCUGCACCCA
rnacentral:tRNA from 1 species